rnacentral:piRNA from 1 species
UCCAAAACAUCUUAUCGCGGACUACUAUA